rnacentral:rRNA from 1 species
GUAAGGAAUAUUGGACAAUGGGCGGAAGCCUGAUCCAGCCAUCCCGCGUGCUUGAUGAAGGCCCUCUGGGUUGUAAAGAGCUUUAGUCUGGGAAGAAACCGUUUUCUGCGGAAGACGCUGACGGUACCAGAAGAAUAAGCACCGGCUAACUCCGUGCCAGCAGCCGCGGUAAUACGGAGGGUGCAAGCGUUAUCCGGAAUCACUGGGUUUAAAGGGUGCGUAGGCGGUCUGAUAAGUCAGAGGUGAAAGCCUGCAGCUUAACUGUAGAAUUGCCUUUGAUACUGUCAGACUUGAAUGGGGUCGAGGUCGGCGGAAUGUGGCAUGUAGCGGUGAAAUGCAUAGAUAUGCCAUAGAACACCAAUUGCGAAGGCAGCUGACUAGGCCUGUAUUGACGCUGAGGCACGAAAGCGUGGGGAGCAAACAGGAUUAGAAACCCGAGUAGUCC